UGAGUCGGCCAGGCGGUCGCGUCAGGGCUUCGGCCCUGCCGAGGAACGUCCGGGCUCCACAGGGCAGGGUGGUGGCCAACAGCCACCCGGGGUGACCCGCGGGACAGUGCCACAGAGAACAGACCGCCGGCCGCUUCGGCAGCCGGUAAGGGUGAAACGGUGGUGUAAGAGACCACCAGCGCUCCAGGUGACUGGAGCGGCUCGGUAAACCCCACCCGGAGCAAGUCCAGACAGCGUACGCACGGUGCCCUCGGGCGCCGAGGAGGCCGGCCCGGUCGAGUGCGCGGGUAGGACGCUAGAGCCGGCCAGCAAUGGCCGGCCCAGAUGGAUGGCCGUCGCUGCGUCCCUGGUAACGGAGGCGCGGAACAGAACCCGGCGUAUCGGCCGACUCAUCCA
rfam:Terrabacter sp. 28 contig1, whole genome shotgun sequence.